rnacentral:rRNA from 1 species
UACAGAGGUCUCAAGCGUUGUUCGGAUUCAUUGGGCGUAAAGGGUGCGUAGGUGGCGCCGUAAGUCAGGUGUGAAAUUUCGGAGCUUAACUCCGAAACUGCAUUCGAUACUGCCGUGCUUGAGGACUGGAGAGGAGACUGGAAUUUACGGUGUAGCGGUGAAAUGCGUAGAUAUCGUAAGGAAGACCAGUGGCGAAGGCGGGUCUCUGGACAGUUCCUGACGCUGAGGCACGAAGGCCAGGGUAGCAAACGGG